UCCCUGGUGGUCCGGUGGUUAAGACUCUGUGCUCCCAACGCAGGGGGCCUGUGUUUGAUUCCUGGUCAGGGAA
rnacentral:tRNA from 1 species